rnacentral:rRNA from 2 species
GGGCGUAAGCGCGCGCAGGCGGUUUCUUAAGUCUGAUGUGAAAGCCCACGGCUCAACCGUGGAGGGUCAUUGGAAACUGGGGAACUUGAGUGCAGAAGAGAAAAGCGGAAUUCCACGUGUAGCGGUGAAAUGCGUAGAGAUGUGGAGGAACACCAGUGGCGAAGGCGGCUUUUUGGUCUGUAACUGACGCUGAGGCGCGAAAGCGUGGGGAGCAAACAGGAUUAGAUACCCUGGUAGUCCACGCCGUAAACGAUGAGUGCUAAGUGUUAGAGGGUUUCCGCCCUUUAGUGCUGCAGCUAACGCAUUAAGCACUCCGCCUGGGGAGUACGGUCGCAAGACUGAAACUCAGAGGAAUUGACGGGGGCCCGCUCAAGCGGUGGAGCAUGUGGUUUAAUUC